GCAAUAACUCCGCCUGUGGCUGCACUAAAUACCUACCUCUGCAACCACAGCCGGUCCCAAGCCCGGAAAAAGGAGGAGGGUUGC
rfam:Corchorus olitorius cultivar O-4 contig22559, whole genome shotgun sequence.